rnacentral:SRP_RNA from 13 species
GGGGCCUCGGCGCCCUCCGCGAAGCCGAAGCCUUCGUUGCCGCCGCUGCUGCAGGCGGUGAGCGCGGGCGACCUCGCCCUCGCCAGGACGCUCCUCAAUGACAGCGACAUUAACGAAUUAGACGAGGCCGGGAACACAGCACUGCACCUGAGCGCAGAGUGCGGGAGCGCAGACCUCGUCACAUU